rnacentral:rRNA from 1 species
UACGUAGGGGGCAAGCGUUGUCCGGAUUUAUUGGGCGUAAAGAGCGUGUAGGCGGCUGGGUAGGUCCGUUGUGAAAACUCGAGGCUCAACCUCGAGACGCCGAUGGAAACCCUCCAGCUAGAGUCCGGAAGAGGAGAGUGGAAUUCCUGGUGUAGCGGUGAAAUGCGCAGAUAUCAGGAAGAACACCCGUGGCUAAGGCGGCUCUCUGGGUCCCUACCGACGCUGGGGUGCGAAAGCAUGGGGAGCGAACAGG